UCUAAGGAUGAGUGAAAGUAAAAUUUCACUCUAAAUAAUAUACAUCGGUAAUGUUGACCGUCCUCAUUUCUCUUCUUAAAGUAAUGUUUCCUUCUUGUAGGGCCGGUAGCUCAGUUGGUUAGAGCACACCCUUGAUAAGGGUGGGGUCGAAAGUUCGAGUCUUUCUCGGCCCACCAAAAACCUAAAUGGGGGAUUAGCUCAUCUGGGAGAGCGCCUGAUUUGCAUUCAGGAGGUAGCAGGUUCGAUCCCUGUAUCCUCCACCAGGAAACAUUUAGUUAUUAAAACUGUAAAUAAAAAUAAUUUAUAUCAAUAUCUAUAUCCGAACAUUAAAAGUUAUUAUUUAAUGUUCAAAAUAAAAAUUUGAUCACAACAUAGAUAAAUUUUCUGUUAAAAGAAUUUUUUUCUGUGCAUAAAU
rnacentral:tRNA from 1 species